rnacentral:tRNA from 1 species
AUUUAUAUAGUUUAAUAAAAACCUUACAUUUUCAUUGUAAAAAUAAAAUAAUUUUUUUUAUAAAUU